rnacentral:rRNA from 1 species
CCGCGUGCAGGAAGACGGCCCUAUGGGUUGUAAACUGCUUUUAUAUAGGAAGAAACCUUUUCACGUGUGAGAAGCUGACGGUACUAUAAGAAUAAGGACCGGCUAACUCCGUGCCAGCAGCCGCGGUAAU